GGAAUCACGAAGAGAGGGGAAGAAGUCUCCUGAGAGAAUGUCACUGAAAAGGUGACUUUCGAACGACCGCUGUACACAGUAAAAUUCACCAGCUGGAGAAGAGGAAGCAGGGCAGGUAAAAUGUACGAGAAGCAGAAGAGUCCUCGUGAGAAGGGUGGAGGCACGAGCAAGCUGAGUGUAUCUGGAGAACAGCAGGAAGAAUGACUAGAGUGAGGAGUGCGUGCAAAACAAAAGGCCGGCAAGGAUAUUUGGAGGUGCUUAAACCUAGUCUGUGAAUGCUGAGGAAAUGCUGACUCAGUAUGUUUCAUGAGUGAGUCGUUCAUCAUCACAUGUUUGGGCGAGGAAGAUUAGCCCUGAGCUAACUUCUGCUGCCAUCCUCCUGUUUUUGCUAAGGAAGACUGGCCCUGAGCUCACAUUCGUUCCCAUCUUCCUCUACUCUAUACGUGGGAUGCCUACCACAGGAUGGCUUGCCAAGGGGUGCCAUGUCUGCACCCGGGAUCCGAACCCGAGAACCCCAGGCCACCAACGUGGAAUGUGCACACUUAACUGCUGCACCACCGGGCCGCCCUGACAUCUCACUUCUUAAUGCUAGUUUUAGGAUAGAUAAGUCACAGAGCCUUACUCGGAGUUUGUUGCCUAAACAAAAAAACGUUCCGCUGUUUUCAAUAUUGCUUACCCAUACCCUCUAUGCUUUAUUCUCUUAGGCUCUCCUUUAACAGUGUUGCAGUUUUCGGUAAAUAGUUGAGUGAUGGAAGAGAUGAAGUCCUUAAACUCAUUGUCACUCCCUCUGCUGCGCUGCGUAAAACCCCUAAAUCCAUGACAUCCCUACGGAGCCCCAAACUUCCUAUGGCUAUGCCACACUUGGCUUUCAACAGAAAUAUGUAUAACACAAAGAAAAACAUGAAGCCUACCCAAGAUUUAUGAAGUCUUGAUUAAAGGAAGCUUUAGUACCCAUAUUUUUGAAUUUUUUCUUUGGGACCCUGGAGGUUUUCAAUAUCUCAAAGCAUUGCAAUACAGUAAAAUUAGAAUGAGAAAGAUUUUAUUCACUUAUUUACCUAUGUAUGUCUAUAUGUAUGUAUUUACGUGGGAAAAGGACAAAUGAGGAAUUGAAAAAAAUGAGGUGGAAAGGAGAACUGUCACGAUGCCUUCCAUCUAAAGCCGUCCUCAGACAGAUCAAGUUCAUAAAAGAACAUAUAUGCAAGGUGAGGGGCUGGAAAAUGACCCUUAAAACCAUAACUGGUUGUGUAUUCUUUGAAAAAUUGGUACGUACUCUCAAGGGUUCUUGUUGUCUUUUUGAAGAAUGCUGAUAUAGAAUUACAGAUGAGGAGGUCAACAGAAUGGUCCCCAGAGUCCAGGGUGGAGUGACGAAGGUGACCGAGGUAGCUCAUGGAGUCAGUAGUUGUGAAGCUGAGUGUGUUUAGAAGGGGACAGAGGCCUGGUCUAGGUCAGGAGUGAGUGGCAUUAGGGGGGCAUUGAUAGUAUUGAGUAACUUGAAAUUUGCCCUACGGUGGUAGAAUGCAGUAGAUUUACUGUCUGUGGGGAAAGAAGCAAGGUGCUUAUCUUUUGUCAGAAGGAGCUCCACAUGGGUCAAGGUGUGGUCGUUUGAUACAGUGAUUGAUUUUUGGGAUGACAGGAUGAGAAAUUUGAGGAUCAGGAAGAAGAUGGCAGGGAUAUUUCUGUCACUGAAGAUUGUAUUGUGAUUAAGGGGAUGAGAAAAGAAAACAUAUUUUUAUUAUAUCCUUAUUUGUUUCUAGCAGUAUUACAUAUACAGUAAAUACUUUGUUAAUUGGUUUCAUUAAUUAAUUGCUAUUUUAAAUUGUUAUAUUUAUAUUUGUUAAUUAUUAUUGAAAAAUACUUGUUAAUUGAUUGGCUAUAUUAGUUUAUAAGCAAUGUAAUUCAACUCUGUGUCUGUUAAAAUCAUAAGAAGGAAACUCCUAAAAAGGAAACAUGGAGAGUGACUCUUCUGUAUUCAUCACAUAUCAGAUAAAUGGUAGAUCAAACUAUAGUAACUUAUUAAAGAAAUUAGAAUUUGGGGAAUAUUUCCUUCUGAGAAAUUGUAAAGAAGUCAAAUAAUCUCUUUGUAGGCUAAGUUACUUCAAUUUCCAUAAUCAAGUCACUCAAUAGUGGACUUUUGAUAAUAGUUGUGAUAAUACACUGCAUGUGUUAAACAGUAUCUGAGAAACAUCUUUCCUAUUACUUCUGCAUCUCUCUAAAGGACAAGUAUUAUGUAAAAC
ensembl:lncRNA